UUUACGUCGCCUUGAUCAAAUGAGACAAGUUCUAGAAAAGAAAGUAUAGUUCUCUCUCGGUACCAACUUGAAAGUUGUUCGUAAGUGAUUUCGUAGAUGAUUAGGCUCAAAAAUUGUAAUCGGAUUGAUUUAAUUGAGAAUGUCUUGGUAAUCACUUUGGUAAAAUCAUCAAGAAGAUACUUUAAUGAAUUUCGAACAAAACAAACAUGGUUGAUUGCAAAUAAAUCCCCGCAAUGACUAAUCAAAGUUGAUACGUAUCUCUCUCGAUGACCAGGGAAGCGA